UGGGGAAUUUUGGACAAUGGGGGGCAACCCUGAUCCAGCAAUGCCGCGUGCGGGAUGAAGGUCUUCGGAUUGUAAACCGCUUUUGUCAGGGACGAAAAGGAACCGGUGAACAACCGGUUUUGAUGACGGUACCUGAAGAAUAAGCACCGGCUAACUACGUGCCAGCAGCCGCGGUAAUACGCAGGGUGCAAGCGUUAAUCGGAAUUACUGGGCGUAAAGGGUGCGCAGGCGGCUGUGCAAGACAGAUGUGAAAUCCCCGGGCUUAACCUGGGAACUGCAUUUGUGACUGCACGGCUGGAGUCUGUCAGAGGAGGGUGGAAUUCCGCGUGUAGCAGUGAAAUGCGUAGAUAUGCGGAAGAACACCGAUGGCGAAGGCAGCCCUCUGGGACAUGACUGACGCUCAUGCACGAAAGCGUGGGGAGCAAACAGGAUUAGAUACCCUGGUAGU
rnacentral:rRNA from 1 species